rnacentral:lncRNA from 1 species
GCCACUGACCGCUCGGCGAGCCAGCGGGAGAGGAUUAGGGCUCCCGAGGCAACUUGCUCGGGGCUCAGGCCGUUCUCCCCCGAAGCUCGGGCUGCCGGGCUGUUCUGGCUCUGGCCUCCCUCUCCUCCUCUUCCUCUUCCUUCUGUCCCCUCCCGCGUUCCUUCCCGGCCGCGCCGCCUGCGCCCUCGCCUCCUGUGGCGCUGCUCCUCCGCCCUGCGCUCCUGGGGUCCCCGCAGUCCGGCUGGCCGCGUUGCGCGCGGGGCUCACUUUCUGCCGCCGGUGGCGAGUGGCUGGUGGGUAGGUCUACCUGUUGACGAGGUCCCUCCCGGGCUCUAGGAAAAGGGGGGAACUUGGAGCAGGCCGUUCAGCUUGGUUUGGUCCCCACGCCGUGGUGCACAUCCCCGGGGCCUGGCCUGCCUUGGCUGCUCCGGAGGGCUAGUUCCUCCAGAACUGGCUGCGCUCGGCGCGCUAGGGGAAGAAGAAUCGGGAAUGGGAUGAUUAAACCCAGAGGAACUGUUUCCUGACUGCUACACCAUUACUCCGUCUCCCCCAACCUCAGAUAUCUAAAAACGUUGGGUGGGAGGAAAGGGGCGCUUCUUGCUGUUGGGACAAUCAGGUUGGAACGCACCGGUAAACCGAAGUUGACUCCGCGGACUGACUUUUUGUCUUUCAGACCCGCGAGGUCUGCUUCUCAGUUUAACUCUAGAAUUGAAGCUCACUAACCCGAAGCCAAAGAGCGAAAUGAUCUUUCAGUAGUCUAAAGUUUGUAAGAUUUUUAUAUACUGUUCAAUUCUUCUCACUGCUGGUCUCCUGCCCUUUGUUUUUAAGCAAACUUGUGCAACUAGCUGUGGUAUUUUGGUAAUUAUAAGGACAAGUCUCCAUGACUUUGUGGAGAUUUUUUAAAAAUGCAUUAGUCUAAGGGCGCGAGUAGGGAGGGAUUUAUUACAGAACAGUGAAAGACCUAUUUCACGUCCCCAGGCGUUAAUAUAUAAUUUUCUCUCGAGAAACUACUUGGAGAGAGAAGACUGUUAGGUGCAACUCGCCGGUAACCUUCUUCAAUCAUUCUUACAUGUUCCCAUCAUCUGUUACGGUCUCCCAAAGACAGUCACAGGAAGGCCACGAAGAACCCCCGCGCUUCCCCCAAAGCUUCUAAAAAGCCAUUUCUUAUCUAAUGGGGCUGCCAGUUUUAUCUAAAAAGUCCUACAGACACAAACCAUAGAAGGCUUAAUUUCGGUGUCUUGUUGCUGUGAGAAGACCCGGUGUGUUAGGAAACUCCUUUCUUUAUAUCUUUCGCAAAAUCUAACCCUUGAUAAGAGCUGUAAAUCCUGGCCGGCCGCAUUGGCUGGGCUUGAACGGGUAAUGCCUCUCCAAAGCGGAAAGGGAAUCAAAGAUGCGUAAGUUUCCUCCUGACCUAGCUGAGGCUUUCUUCCCCAGGAACUAGUUUUGAUUUGUUUUUUCUCAAGGAGGAUUUCAAAUUGGAUCUGUCUUCCCUUCCAUUUUUAUUAUAAGUUGUUUUAGAGCGCGUGUAUGAAAGCGAAAGUUGGAUAGACCUAGGUUGAUAAGUUUACCAGUUGUGUGGUGUGUGUUUUUUUUUUUUUUUUUUUUUGGUCUGUUUCUAGUCUCUGGUAUUAGAUGUAUGGAGCCUUUUGUCAGGCUGCUUUUGCAAAGCUGAUGCUGUUAAUCUCAAUACGAAGCAAAUCUUCCUAGUAUUUGUGUGUGUUUCCCAUAGAGAUAAACAUGUUGACCCUAGUAAAAAAAAAAAAAAAAAAAGAUACCACCACAAUGCCAGAAAAUAGAGUUUUACCUAGUCAUAUUCCAUCAUGCCACUUUUAUAAGAUGGAAUUAAACACCAGAAGCCACCAGAAGCCUGAUGACUUACAUUUGAGAUCCACAAAGCACCCUCACUAUCCAUCCUCCUUCAAACCAGCCCCCACCUCCCACCCACAGUGUGGUAUUUUAACUCCCUAAACCAAUAAGCUAUUACAAAGAAUUAUUGCAGAUGAUAGCACUUCCAAGUAGAAAAGCUUGCAUGCGGCUUGGGGGAAACCUUUAGUAAUAGACAAUUUCACCUUAAUGGUGAAGACAACAUUUUCCUCUUUUCAUUCUGCACCAUUGUUGUAAACAAGUAUUUUCUUAAUAAGUUCCUAAACUGAUAGAAGCAAGACGCAUGGUGAAGAUACCAGCAUUAAAAGGAGACGUUUGAGGGACCCCACCAUGAUGGACAUGCUCUGAAGUUCAGUGCAUGUAUCAUGACACAUUUUGCAUUAAAAUCCAAGUUAGAAUAGCAGGCUUUGUAGUUUUACUUUACCUUGAAGUUCUAAAUUGAUCAUGGAUUAUUAUGAUUUCCUCAGCUGAUUGCUGUAUGUGGAUUUAGUGCAUCAAAUAUAUCUGUAAAAUUUUGUAUACAUAAAACUGAUGAGCAAUUUAUCCGUAAUACUUGAUCACAGGAGCGACCUCUUGUGUUCAAAGCGGGGAUUAGACCCUCUCCUCUCAAAAAAGGACUCGUUUUGACCUUUGUAUAUUGUUAGGUCAAAAAUAUAUCCUUGAAAACGGCAAUAGUGUGAAUCUCUGGUUUGAUUCCUUUACUGAGAAAAUGAGGAGUAUGAGUAGUUAUUAAGUGUAGUCCCCAUCACCUCCAGGCUGCCUCAAUAUAUCUGACAGUGUCUUUCAAUAUAAAAGGGAUACUGAAAUUUAAGUUCCUCUGGAGUCUGUGGCAUCUGCCCAUGUGCCCUUGUAUACACCUUCCAAAAUGUGGCUGUUACACCCAACCUCCUGAUGGGCUCUUAGACUUGUGUUUUUGUGUACUGUUGCUUUCUCUGCUUUAGUUACCAUUUAAACAUUCCACAUCAAACUUAAUGUCAGAUACAGAUUCCUGCACAAACAUCAUGCUCUCAAGCUACAUUUCAAAAAUCUAAAUAGGUUUUAAUUGCAAUUGAAAGGUAAAAUUACACAUUUAGCAUUUAUUUAUCUCCCAAUAACCUCUGGCAGAUAUAAAUGAAUUUUAAGUUGUUUCUUUGGGAAAUCACAAACAGUAAGACAGCUUAUUCCUUCUCAUCUAACCAAGACUGGGAAGGGAAGAGGGGCUUUGAUCAGCUUUCCAAUGGAGGUAUAAAUUUGAGAAUUUAUUCCCAGGGAGAUGAUGCUAUAUGUUUAGCUCACAUCAGAAUCAGGUUUGAAAGAGUAGAAUAAGUUACACUGCCAGUUUUACUGAGUAAGGUAUUCAGAUGAAAAAAUAUGUAUAACUGAAGGAUUUAUAUUUUCUGAUGUCCACAUCAUAUAAUUUGGGGGCCAAAAUGAAACAGGAAGAUUUUAUUUACCUCUAAAAAUGGAUAUUGAGUAGAUGCGUAUGUAUCCCCUUUCCCGUUUUUAUCUUUUCUGUGUAGUCUCUAAUGAUGUAGAAUAAGGCUAUAUAAAUCCUCAGUAUCUUUAAUCAUGUCCAAGGGUCAGAUAAAAUUAUGUGCGUUUAAAGGGAGUUACGAUUAACCAUUUAUAUUCCACCGCGAACGGGGUGUGGGUGUUUAGAACCAAUUUGCGUCUCUUCCCGUUGGUGGUGGUGGCUUAUUGAGGAACAAUCAGGAGAAUCUGUGCUCUAAUUUCAGAGAAAAGGAAGAGAUACCAGUGGAACUCCUAAGUGACCAGGAACAGACGAUUUUUAACCGAGUUCUGCUGCGUGGAGCCCAGGUUGGCGCUAGUGAGUGCAGUGUGCUGACCCAAGUGGUGGUGGCCCAAGGACGCGCUGACCCGUACAUUUGGCAAAGCUUUCAUUAAAUGUAUCAGAUUCUCGCGGAAGUGGUUGCAGUCCGGAGAGUGAAACAGCUAUCUCUCAAGUCCUGACCGGUUCAGCUGAAAUCUACAUUUGCACUGAAUCUGGCAAAACACGGACGGGUCCGCCCGAGAUCUCAGGAAACCCAGAGCAAGUUACCUCCAUGUAGUUGAUCAUUCUUUCUGAAAGGACGGACACCAUUUACCCCACUGCAAUCCUGUCCAACGGGCAGCUCUGAGUUUAGCUUUAGCGCCAAAGGAUUGAUUUCCCCCACCCGCUGGAGAUUUACUGGGGACGAGCGGGGGAGGGGAGGCGAAGGUACCUCGGAGGAGGUCAAGUGGGGGAGGAGGAGGAGCAGCAGAAAAUUACCAGCCAAGCAGGGGAGGGAGUUGGAAGCCCGGAAAUAUACCAGGAUGCCUCAAGUAACCUUCCUUUAAGUCUCAGAAUUCAGCCCUCGGAAAACAGCCUCAUAAGGUGUCCUGGGAAGGAGUCCUCGGGUGGGCUGCGGAGGUGAUGUCAAGAGUUACAGCUACUUUAUGAAUUAAACUGACGGCUAAGGCAUGUCGGGACAGUUUAGUGUAAGCUGAAUGGUGCGUGGACGGGGCAACUUUUAAAGAGAGGUGGGCAAUCAUUGGUGGCAUCUACCAGUAUAUUCUGCAUGUAACAGUAGUUUGGAAGCUGAAGAAAAACCCCUCAAAUCCCAGUAAAUGCCCGGUCAGUUCGAGAGAGAUUUUAGGGACAAUUUUGAAGGUCGCUGUCUGCUCCAACUCCGCAGAGAUGAACAAGAGUGUGAACUCUGGCGCGGGUGUGUUUAGAAUUAUCUACGACUUCAGAUCCAUGCUGUUGAAACUCAUCAAUUCUUUGUGACUUCACGUGGAGAGAAGAAUUUGCCCUGCCUCCCUACCUGCUAAAUGCCGACUGAGAAAAGGGGCCCAGGAGACGACCCCUUUCAGAAAGAACGUCACUUCAUCAACUCGGCUGAGUUAUUAACUUGCUCCCCGAAAGGUCAACAACGCCUUCUCUUCUCAGCCGCACCGCGCGGAGAUCAAUCGCUUUACCCUAGGUAGCCUCUUGUUCAGGGCUCAGGAACUCCUGUCUUAAGGUCCUUCUGGGGCUCAGAAGCUGUGUUGUGUAUGUUCUUUCCAAGAAUCCCACCUGUCUGCUUUCAAGCACACACGGCGCUAGAAAUUUAGCCUAGCCUGAGUCCUGGGAUGAGAGAAGAGCUAAACAAAGAGACCCCAACCGUCCCCUUGGCCCCCUGCCCCGCCGUUUUGCAGUUUGCCAACCUUCUAGCUAGACAGCCCCCUAAGUCUCCGUGUUGCGAGUGAAAGAGAAUUUUUCUAUUUCAUCUUCCCAUUGACCGAAGCAGAAAAAUUGAACCGAAUCUACGCCCCUUGUUCUGAUUCCUGCUAGAGGAAAACAGAAAAUCAUCCCGCAGGUCUCUUUCAGUCCCUGGAUGGCGAGCGCAGCCCCUGGGAGGCCACACUUAGUUCUUUAUUGUGAAUCUCUCGCUACUCAAGUUCGUUCGGGACCAGGGCCUCGGAUGGCCUCGGUUGCCCGUAAGUACGCGAAAGAAGAGGUGAAUCCAAUCGCUGGCCUAGAGGAUAGUGAUCAGACAACCCGAGGAUUACUAAACAAGGGGCGGCGGUGUCCCUGUCUCAUGGGGUUGGCGUGGGGCGGGGGGUAGGCAGCAAGAUCCUCCAGGCUCCUGGAUGCAAAGAGUGAGAAAGAAAGCGCAGCCUCUGGCAGCCUGCUUAUAAAUGCAGCCUUUCGGAAGAUGAAACUUGCAGUCUUAGGUUGUCCUCCUUUAUAUCCAUGUUCCAAUCCUCUGGGCUUUCCUCGAAAUGAAUAAAAUUGUGGAAAUGAAUGAAUGAGAAUAUCACUUUAAUUGUUUCAAACUCAUUGUCAAGUCACCUUUUCUGCCAUCUGCCAGAGGUUCAAUUUGCGCUUCGUGUCUACAUUCCAGAAAAUUGUAAGGACGUUUCCUCUGCAUCUGUCUGCCUUGUUGGCAGCGUGCGGAAACGAUAACUGCACAGUUAUUGGUACAGAAUAUUUUCAUGACUAGCUUAAUUCUAAAUAUCACCCCAAAAUACAGAUACCUUACUUCUUAGUUGGCAUUAUUCAAGUUUAUUCACUUUGUGCUGCAAAUGUUUGAAUUAGAAAACAGGAGAGAACUCCCGCAGCAGAGAUGCACUUCUCUGCUCUCCUGUCAGUCACAGAACCCACACUGGGUGAUUAGCCAGAGGGGCGGGCUCCUUUGUUGACUUAAGAGUUCACCAGGCAAGAUGGAACAAUUAUCUUGUUGCCUCUUCUUAACUGUCUAUUGUUGACUUACUUCUAGUAUGCUUCCAUUGUACAAAAUUCUAUCCAAAAUUGAAGAAUAAAUCGUAAGUUAAAAAGAUACAUGUACUAGCCCAGGAAGAUCCCUGCAUCUUGAACAGUAAUGCUGAAUCGGAAACUAUGUCGUUACCCAUAAGUAGAAUCCUCCUGACUUUCACUUAAAUAUCAGGACCCAAAUUAUUUUAUGUCUCACUUCAGAACAUAGCACAAUGUGCUAUUUUAUCUUCUUGGCCCAGUCUUUAGAUUUAUUCUAUACUCUCCGUGUUACAAGCUGCACAAACCAUUGGUGACAAUGAGAACCACUCUAUAUAGUUUUACUGACUUUGGAUUCUCAUAUAAUGUAUGAACAAAUAUAAGCCAUAUCUUUUAGGUCUUGACGAUGUGUUUCUUCCAAUUCUGAAGUGUUCGUAUAGUUGUCCCUAAUGUCACGUGAUACGUCUCUUCGUUGUCCUAUACCCGAGCCAUAGCAGAUCUGAUGUGACUUUGGAUAUACCAUGUGAGGGCAAGCAUUUUCUUUUAGGCUAGGCCAUCAAUGAGGAAGAAACAUGAGUAGAGCUCUUAAAGCAGAGGAAAAUGUAAGUGGAUGGAAAAAAAUCACACUUUUGAAUAUAGUAUUGGAGAAAGAAUUGAGUGUGGGUGACUUUAUUAGCUAGCAGAAGAAAGAGUGAAAAUAGGUGCUUGGCUAAGAUGAGAAAAGUAUUCAAUUUUGAAAACAGAAAGAGAAAGCUUAUUUAGAAAAAGAAAACAUGGAGUAAAUGUCAAGAGGAACAUAAAGAAAUAGGGCGUGGUGACCCAGUUCAUUCUGAUAGAAUAGGCGUUUAAGGGCAAAACCCAGAUCCGAAAUAGGUAGUGGAUGGAACUAGGGAACAGUAGAUUCAUAAUUAUUUUAACUUGGCAUUUAAAACUUUAAAAUCUGAGUUGAGGGGUUUUUUUUAAUGGUAGAAAAGCAGCUUAUUUGGCAAUAAUUUUAAAAACUUCUGUCGCAUCUUUAAUCAUACUAGACUGUUCACCUUUGUAAACUCCUCACUAUCAGUAAACUGUCAGUACACUGUCAGUACAGAAAAUACAAACUAAAAGUACUAGAAAUAUCACAAUACGGAUUUCUCUUUUUAAUGUAACUAGGUUUAUCUAACAAUAAGAUUCAGGAUUCAGAAAAGAAAAAAGACCAGAUCUGAGAAGGAAUUUUAAAAAAUGGUUUCAAAGUUUUCCAGAGUUUUGUUAGCCAUUGCCCUUUCUGCAGACGUGGUUAUAUCAGAAAGUGUAAUUCAAGUAUUUGCACUGCUUACUUAAACCACAAUAAAAAGGGAAAGAUGUUGUGAAAACACUGCCUCAUGCUCAAAUUUAUGCAAAACAACUUGAAAGGCUGCCAGCAACACUGUUGUUAUGUUAGCAGUUCUGAUCUGGCUUCACAUUCUCCUAGAGGAGUUCUUCUGAUGUGAGAAGAAUGUAAACCCAAACCACAAGGGAGUAUUCAUUGUACCUAUGCACUUGGGAAGAGUUUGGGUGCCCAAAAUGUCAGAAAAAUCAGAUACAGUUGUUCUCUUAGAAUCUAUUCUGGAGGUCACAAGGUCAGAAUGCCUGCACAUGUGCAUAAACCAACAUGCCCAUAAAAGCCUGAUAGGAGGCAGCAGUGCCCCAUAAAAGGUCACACCCAGCCAGAAUCCAGCAACGUUGGAACAGCGUCUGUUAUGGAGAAGAAAUAUGUGUCUGACAGCAGCAACAGCAGCAGCAGAGAAAGAUGGAUUGGGGAUUAAUCAUGGUAAGAUACUGAGCAAAAGAGACAACAAAUUCUGCCAAGCAUGAAUCCUUCUCUACUCACAGGUUUCACAAAAUACACUCUUCAAAGUACAAGCUGGUUGGCCAAGGUCAGGUUGAUCUUUGCUAGGCUAAAGAAGCAGCUGCGGAGUGUUUCCCACGGCAGAUGGAGAACACCUAAGGAUUUUUUACUGUUAAAAAAAUAAUAAUUUGUGUUUCAACAGUAGAAAUACUCCUGAUAACACACGUGAUCAAAAUUGCAUUCCCCCUCAGUUCUCAUGACAUUCACUUUGGGGUAAUACCAUUUAAAAAAUAUUAUUGGUAGCUGUUAGCCUGUGGCUUUCCAGGACCUUACUUUUAAUGUAUUUCCCUUGUCUUUCUAGAUUUAACAUAUUGCCUCAUUUCAUAAUCUCCCUUCAUUGAGAUCAUUUGUAUAAGCAAAACAUGUUACAUGACAGUCUUUGGAAGACUGAAUAGGCGCCACUAAAUUGUGCAGUUUAGAGGGCUCUAGGCAAGGCCACCCAGACUGAAAUGGUAGCCCCUCUAUAUCUGUCAAAGCAUCUCAAAUAACUCUAAGAAAGAUUUACUACUUUGACAAUCAUAAAGACUCUUUAGUUUUCAGGAGGUUUUGUUUAGUUUUGUUGGUUGGUUAUUUAAUGCCAAAGCUUUCUGUAAUUGAUUUUUCCUGCUUCUUUACCCAUUUGUACCAUUAUGAAGAUUUCUAUAAUAAGCAUGCCAAUAAUAAGAAAAAAGAAGGAAAGAAGGAGUUGAAAAGGAAAUAAAGAUGAUAAACCUAAAAAUAAAUGAUACACAAUGGAAUACUAUUCAGCAAUUGAAAGAACAACUGAUACAUACUUUAACAUGGGUGGGUGAGUCUCAAUAUGCUGAGUAAAAGAAGCCAGAACAAAAAUGGACACUCUAUAAUUCUACUUAUGUAAAACUCUAGGAUAUACAAACUAGUGUUUGACAAACUGAUAGUGAAAGAAAUCAGAUGAGUGGUGACUGUGGGAUGGAGUAGGCGAAGGGUAGAUGGGAAAGGCAGAGAUUAAAAAGGGACUAGAGGAAAUUUUUGGAAGUGAUAGACAUAUUCCUUAAUUUAUAUUCCUUAUUUUUAUUGUGGUAGUUUAAUGGGGGUAUGCUGUGGCAAAGCUUACCAAAUUAUAUAUUUUAAAUAUGGGCAGUUCAUUGUGUAUCAUUUAUACCUCAAUAAAGCUAUUAAAAAUAGAAAAGAAACUGCAUUGUGUUGUCCUGUUCUUUGUUAUUGUUAUUAGUAGUAGUAUUACAUAAUUUUUACAAUAAAGGGGAAAGGGCAAAUACGCAGCACUGUAUUUAUGAAAUAAGGUACUUGAAGGGAGAAAAAAAGGAGUUUAGCUCAGCCUAAUUGGUGUUUGGUCAGUGGGUACUGGGGAAUACCAAUCUGAAUUUUCUAUUGCCUAAUACUACAAUUUCAAGCACUUUCCCAUCUUGUAAUACUACUCUUCAGGAUCCCAAGAUAGGCUUCCCAGAAAACAUCUCUAUAUUUUGCUUUCCCCAAAGUCAAAUUAAUUCUGUAAUUCCUAGCACUCUGUAUUAUUUUUUUCAACACAUCACUUUAUAAUUUGUUUACAUAUAGGGUUUGCCACCAUCUUCCAAGACUCAAAAAAAAAAAAAAAGUUUUUGAGGAGAGAGUCCAUAUCUGGACCAUUACUGUGAACUAUUGUCUCUACAAAUUUUCGGUGAA